rnacentral:rRNA from 1 species
UACGAAGGGGGCUAGCGUUGCUCGGAAUCACUGGGCGUAAAGGGUGCGUAGGCGGGUCUUUUAAGUCAGGGGUGAAAUCCUGGAGCUCAACUCCAGAACUGCCUUUGAUACUGGGGAUCUCGAGUCCGGAAGAGGUGAGUGGAACUCCGAGUGUAGAGGUGAAAUUCGUAGAGAUCCGGAAGAACACCGGUGGCGAAGGCGGCCUGCUGGGGCAGUUGCUGGACACUGAGGCGCGACAGCGUGGGGAGCAAACAGGG